GCUUACUAGGAACCACUCAUCACUUCUCCGGUUAUCCACCACCGUCAGAUCAUCCAUCCACAGCUUAUCUUCUAUGAACGAGAUCGCACCUGAUGAAGAAAUAUAUAACCUUGAAGAACGGAAACUUCACUGCAAGCCCGUUUCACCUCUGGUUCGGUCCGGUUCAGUGCGUCUAACUCCAAUACUUGCCAUAUUGUUCCUCUAUGUAUGCACCCUUUUCGCCUUCUUCAACACGGACGACAUAGCCACCUCGGAAAAUCUGCUUUUAGGGCUUAUUUUAGUUGCGGUUUUACUUUUCUUCGCGUCGAAAAAUAAGUCAAGAAUCCAACAAAGUUUCAGUUUUUGUAAGGAACUGUGUUAUGAGUAUGGAAAAAAAGUUGGGUUCCUCUGUUUGACCUCUAAGAACGAUGAAAAAUCUGUGAAAUGGUUCAUCGGUGAAUCGAACUUCGAUUAUAAAGAGAAUGCUAAGAAUAUUAUAAGAGAAGGAGUGGAAUUUUACAGCAAUGGGGAUUACUAUGAAGGUGAGUUUCACCAAGGUAAAUGCAAUGGGAGUGGAGUGUACAAUUACUUCACGAAUGGGAGAUACGAGGGCGACUGGAUUGGUGGGAAGUACGAUGGAUAUGGAGUUGAGAGUUGGUCGAGGGGAAGUCGAUAUCGGGGGCAGUAUAGGCAGGGAUUGAGGCAUGGCUAUGGAGUUUAUAAGUUUUACACUGGGGAUACAUAUGCAGGGGAGUGGUGUAAUGGGCAGAGUCAUGGAAUGGGAGUGCAAUCUUGUGCUGAUGGGAGUUGUUAUAUUGGAGAGUUCAAAUGUGGGGUGAAACAUGGCCUUGGUUCUUACCAUUUUAGGUGAGAAUUGAUGUUCUUUUAUGCUUGUCUCAAUCUGUUUAAUUGAUUUUUAUUUUUUUUUCGAAAUUUUUGAGUUAAUACGUGAAUCUUGUUGGUGUCCGGAGCAUAAUUGGAGUGUAGGUAGCUGAAAUUUUGCAGCUAUAAGUGAAUGAAGCUCUCGAGCGAUGAGGAUUGAUGCUCUUUGAUGCUUGUUUCUAUUUGUUAAAUUUUUUAUUUCACUUUAGUCUUUUUUUUUUUCUUUUUCUUUUGAUUUAAAUUUUGAGUUGUAUAUGUGAAUCUCAGAUGUUGUGUGGAGUGUAAUCGUACCGUUGGUAGCUGGAAAAUUUGCAGCGAUAGGUGGACAAAGCUCUCAAGCAAUAAGAAUUUGAUGUUUUCUGAUGCUUGUUUCUAUCUGUUUGAUUCUGUUUUACUCUAUUUUUCUGUUAUUUUCGAGUCGAUAUGUGAAUCUUGUUGGACUGUGUGGAGUCUAAUGUAGAUAGCUGAAAACUUUGCAACGAUAAGUGGAUGACCCUCUCACAUCUAGGGUGAACCACCAUUAAUUCGUAUGGGCUUUCUUCGUUUUAUAAUGGAGUUAAGUUCAAAAUUAAUCAAUGGCAAAUCUUGAUCGUACAUGUGAUUGGUUCUAUGUUUGAUCUGAUAAAAUUUUGUUGGUGUUUCUUAAUAAUGUUGUUUGAGAUGACACAGUUUGGUUACAAAUUUUGUGGGGGAGGAUUCUAGUUUGUAGUAAUCGGAUUAUAUCUUAUGUUGUUUUGGAUUUUGUAUGAGAUUAGUUGCCUGAAAGUUUUCGAGUUCAUGUAUUCUAUUUGUUGAGUUUUUUGGCUUCUUGAUAGAUGGAACAAUAGAUGGUUCUGAUUAUUUUGAUGAUUUAGAAUCACAAGUUAUUGAAGGAACUUGAGAAUAAAUAUGAAAUUUGAUUGUCUUGUAGAAAUGGAGAUAGAUAUGCUGGUGAAUAUUUUGGAGAUAAAGUCCAUGGUUUUGGCGUCUAUCACUUCUCGAAUGGUCACUGUUAUGAGGGAUCAUGGCAUGAAGGACGAAAACAAGGUUAUGGCAUGUAUACUUUCCGAAGUGGUGAGACGAGAUGUGGCGAAUGGGAUGGUGGUAAACUUAAGGCGUCCCUUCUUCCGCUAACUGAUUCAGUUCUGCGAGCUGUUCAGGUAACAAUGUUACUCCUCUCUCAAAGCACAAUAAGGUUACUUUUCUAGAAAAUAAGUUUGAAUAAAAUCUAGAUGGACUAACUUCUAAGCACAACCAAACAUGCUCGUAUGUUCACUCUUAACUCUCGUUUUCUCUUGUAUUGUCCAGGCUGCUAGAAAAUCUGCGGGAAAUGCAAUAAAACUCUGCAUGGUUGAUGAACAAGUGAACAAGGCUGUUAUGGCAUCAAACCGAGCUGCUACUGCCGCCAGAGUUGCUGCUGUUAAAGCUGUUCAGAACAGGAUCGAUGGAAAAUUCUGCGAUACUGAUGUUUAAGUAUUGUCCAUAAAUUUAAAUCUUCUAAGUUGUUCUUGCGUAGAAGGUAUAUGAGCACCCCGAUAAGCAAAAACUCGUCGGAGGUUGAGUGUAUGUCGUGGUUUUGUUUCAACUAAGUAAUCUGUACAUGUUUCAAUCAUAAUUUCAAUGGGAAGCAUUUUUUAUUUAAAUGCCAUUAAAAUUGCGGUCCAUGAAAUGCACUGAAGAUAAUAGAUAGAUAUAAAAAAAUGCAGGAUUACGGGUUGAGCUGACCCACAGCCAUUGAAAAUAGUUCGAGGGAGUAGUAUGAUUUUGAGUUCAGACCUUCAACCUCCCAUUAACCUGUCUUGAAUUAAAAAUAAUGUAUAUGACUGAGACUAAGCAAGAAAUUGGUGCAUAAAAUAUAUGGAAAACUAGAAAUAUUGGUUCCUAAUAAAAGGUAUCUUGUUUUCGUUCAAGAGGUGAGACGAGUUACAACAAAGUGAGAAUCUGUCGAAUAGUUCACACCAAAUCCUCACGAAGGUUGAAAGUUGGUCAAGCAAAGAUUUAACAAAUCAAUGAUGCUUUGCUGCUUUAUUAGUUGGCUUCAUAGCUUGCUUCUUCCAACUGUUUACGUGGUUUAUUCUUUUUCCUUGACUUACUUAGUUCACAUCUCAAUUUUGUUAAGGAUUCUGGACCUUCUUCUUCACCUGGUCAAAGAGAAAGAAUCCUUCAACUCUAUGAUCACAUUUAUAGAAAUUUGGAGUAGUCUAUUGUCCUAUUGUAUAAUAAAAGGAGUAAGUAAUUCGAUUUGACUGAACUUUCAAACCAAAUCAUUUUAAAUGGUUUGAAAAAACCUCAAACCUAAAUCAAACCAUUCGACACAGUUUAAGAUUUUCUCAAACAUAUACCUAAUGAUUUAUACCGCGAUUAUUUUUCUUCAUGUUCACUUUGUCACUACUAAUUCAAUUAUUACAAAAUACUUUCAUACUUUAUUAAAAAAAAAAUAUAUAUAUAUAUAUAUAUAUAUAUAGUGAGAGCAUUUGAUGUGAUGUUUUAAAGUUUUUUGUACUAUUUUUUCAUCUAGUCAAAUCAAUUUUUAAUGAAGGACAUUUAGGAUAUUUGAAUUAUUUAGAUGGGCAAAAAUGUCCAAAAAUUUUCAAAAUUGACAAUAUUGCAAAGACCUAAAAAAGGUGACAUUUUUGUAAAUGUAAAGUCAAAAAUUGACUAUUUCGAUAAUUUCCACAUAAAAAAAUAAAAGGUGAAUUUAUUUAUUGAACCACAUUGAUUUCUUCUCCAAUAUCAAUAUGACGUGAGAGAAAAUAAAAGUAAAACCCUACUAUAAUUUUCUAGCAAAUGUGGUGCCGGCAAGGAAAUAACAAAUUUGCCGAAUCAAGAUCGGACGACCGUGUCUACCCGUCAAUACCGGGAAAUCCCAAUCCAACGGUUCAUAUACGUUACGAUAUCCACCGUUGGAUCAUCAACUGACGGCCCAUAUCAAACCAUUGUGGGCUCCACCAAACCUUUUCCCUAGACAUAUAAAUAACAAUUAUAGGUAAAACCAUGUCCACUCUGAAGAAUUCUUGAACAAAAUUCUCUCUCACGCAGUGGUUUUGUGUGUGUGUUCUUGUUCCAAAAAAUUGUUUUUGCUUAUCUUGCUCACUUAUCCGACGCAUUAUCGCCGGAGAUGAAACCGGCGUCGGAGUAUAUGAUAAGAAAAUCAAGGUACAGGAGAGUUAAUCGUCUAGCUAAAAAGAUCAACAGCUAGGAUUUUAUCAGCGGAUCUCACUGUCAAGAAUGGACGGUCAAAAGCUUACUAGGAACCACUCAUCACUUCUCCGGUUAUCCACCACCGUCAGAUCAUCCAUCCACAGCUUAUCUUCUAUGAACGAGAUCGCACCUGAUGAAGAAAUAUAUAACCUUGAAGAACGGAAACUUCACUGCAAGCCCGUUUCACCUCUGGUUCGGUCCGGUUCAGUGCGUCUAACUCCAAUACUUGCCAUAUUGUUCCUCUAUGUAUGCACCCUUUUCGCCUUCUUCAACACGGACGACAUAGCCACCUCGGAAAAUCUGCUUUUAGGGCUUAUUUUAGUUGCGGUUUUACUUUUCUUCGCGUCGAAAAAUAAGUCAAGAAUCCAACAAAGUUUCAGUUUUUGUAAGGAACUGUGUUAUGAGUAUGGAAAAAAAGUUGGGUUCCUCUGUUUGAC
rnacentral:lncRNA from 1 species